rnacentral:tRNA from 1 species
GGGCCUGUAGCUCAAUGGCAGAGCAGGCGGCUCAUAACCGCUUGGUUUCAGGUUCGAGUCCUGGCGGGCCCA